rnacentral:lncRNA from 1 species
AAUUUUUUUUUAUAAAAAAUAAAAUUAUGGCCAGGUGUGGUGGCUCAUGGCUGUAAUUCCAACAUUUUUGGAGGCUGAGGUGGGAGGACUGCUUGAGACCAGGAAGUUCAAGACCAGCCUGCCAGAUAUAAGGCAAGUGCAGAGUCCCAAUCUGCAGUUCCGUUCUGCGAGGGAAACGGCCAGAGACAGACAAAGCGAUUCUCGGGGUGUGCAAGAAACCUCCAGUUGGGGAGUUGAGUACACAGGGAAAAGCUCAGACACAGAGACUGACUGAAAAUGAGAAACAGAAAUUCUAGGCUUAGGGGACAAAGGAAAGAGGGAGCCAAAGAGACUCC